AUGGGAGCGGCUAAAAACAGUGAAGCGUACAGAAGCGAAUACAGCCAGGGGCGCCCUCAAGCCUUAAGGGAACGGGCCGCAGCCCCUGGUACCGGAACGCAGAUCCCUGGUCCAGGCGACGUGGGUGCAUCAGGUGGGAGGGGGGGCCCCCCACCGCCCUUGGGCCCCUGGGCAUGUGCCCGGUGUGCCCGUGCGGUAAUCCACCCUUGCCUGUAAACAAUGCAACGUGUGCGAACUCCUGUACCCGUCUGACUGUGAGAGUUACAGGCCCAGUAAGAGCCAAAAUAAGAUUUGGGGAACUAUGAAGACUGGGACCCAAAGGUAUGACCGUAACAGAUGUAAUGUGAGGAAUAACGAAGUGACCACAUCUAAGGGCAAAAUAUUUACCUCAAUAGACAUAAUGAAAUGCUACAUGUGUGAAGCACAUUAAGUUACACCAAUCACAGGAGCACUAACAACAGUCUUUUUAUUCAAAAAAACAAUUAAAAAAUAACAACUACAAAAAAUAGAUUGUAAACUAUUAACAUAAAAGAUAAAUCAAUAAAGAGUAGAACAAACAAAGUCUCAACGGGGGGGGGGGGGGGGGGGGGAACACACUGACGCCUUCCUCAGUGAGGUGGACGCCACUCUCGCUUCACGCUCUGUCGCCCGACAUCGCCGUCACCGCCGCCAUAGAUGCCAAGCGCCGCCAUUAUGCUGCAUCAUCAGACUACAUUUGAGUCGUGUGGCGCAGGCGUCACGGGGAGGGGGACGGGGAGGGGGAGAUGUGUUUGACUCAAAAGAGGCAAACACCUUCAGGUUUCUCCUGUCCAUCAUCUCCACACAGAACAGUUCAUAGUCAGUAUGUAAUCUGAAUGAGAAUUGGAAUGGUUUCCACGUUUCUUCCUCAUCCCCGCCGUCAUGGGAUUUGCGCUGUGUUGAUGCUGCCAUCUGCUCCCAACCUUCCAUCCCAAUGACCUCUGGGAGAGAAACGCUGUCCUUGAAAGACUGUAACUGGCACCAUGCUGCUGCCUGAAUUGUGUCCUUCAGGACAACAUCAUCUUCCUUGAAGAAGAAAGAAAAAUUAUUUGUGUCUGUACUUGACACCCUACUCUCCAAAAACCACAAAAUGGUAUGCAAACAAAGGCUACUACUACUGAUGAGUUUUCACUGAUAAAAAACACUAUUCAACUAGUCAUCAGACUAUUUCAUCUGGCUAUACAUACAACCUCCAGCAUUACACACAUAUUACAUACCAGGUUCCCAGGUUCCAGUUCCUGGUCUUCAGUUUUGUCUGGAAAUAAAACAGAUUGUUGUCUGUAAUGUUGAGUAGGCUAAUACAAUGGAAUAAUAAUAGUAGGCCCUAGUAGUGCAAUAGAUCAGUCAUGGAGUAGGCUAUAACUUGUAUAUUGAUGGUGUCUCUAAAAGUCAAAGAAAACCAGUAUAAACAUAAAAGCAGUUUUCUACAAAAAAACAUUGCAGCGUUUCGGUUUUCUAUUUUUCGGCUGCUUUGUAUAAGAUGGCUUGUGCAUAUACACAAUGUAAUUAGACUAAAAUAACAUUGAUAUUCGAUUUCUGUGGACCCUUAUGAACAUUUCAAGACCCAACAUGAAGUAUCAACUCAUUGCUAAGGAUAUCCACAACGACGAUAAAGUAAGAACGCACCAAGGGUGGGGGAGGCUAUUUUGACCUAAGACACUAGGAUAUAUUUGAUCUAUAUUCACUAAACAUAUUUAUUCCACCGAAUGGUUGACAUUGGUUGACAAAACAACCUGAGAUUCUAAGCUUUCAAACGGUGUAUGACAUGACUAUAUCACUCAAACUUAUGAUGCUGAAAAUUGACCUAGCAUGUUGGGGGGAACAUGCUAGGUGUAACUUAAACUUUCUCGCCGGCGGGAUUUGACGAUUAAGUAGUUAAC
rnacentral:lncRNA from 1 species